GACGAACGCUGGCGGCGUGCUUAACACAUGCAAGUCGAACGGAAAAGCCCUGCUUGCAGGGUGCUCGAGUGGCGAACGGGUGAGUAACACGUGGGUGAUCUGCCCCUUACUUUGGGAUAAGCCUGGGAAACUGGGUCUAAUACUGGAUAGGACCAUGCUGUAGGUGGUGUGGUGGAAAGAUUAGUUUCGGUAAGGGAUGAGCUCGCGGCCUAUCAGCUUGUUGGUGGGGUAAUGGCCUACCAAGGCGUCGACGGGUAGCCGGCCUGAGAGGGUGGACGGCCACAUUGGGACUGAGAUACGGCCCAGACUCCUACGGGAGGCAGCAGUGGGGAAUAUUGCACAAUGGGCGCAAGCCUGAUGCAGCGACGCCGCGUGGGGGAUGACGGCCUUCGGGUUGUAAACUCCUUUCAGCCAUGACGAAGCCCUUGUGGUGACGGUAGUGGUAGAAGAAGCACCGGCUAACUACGUG
rnacentral:rRNA from 1 species